GUUGCGUUUUUCAUACGUACGUAUACGCACGUAAAACUUUAAAUCCGUUUAUAUGUUACUUAUGAAAUAACCAAAUAAAUAAAGCAACAGAAUUUAGUGUUCCGCAAGUUUUAGUAUGCAUUUGUUAACUUAUUUGUAAAAUAUUUAAAAAAUAGAAGGAUUCAAAGUUUCACGUGCGUGUACGUGCGUACGAAAAACGCAAC
rnacentral:miRNA from 1 species